UCCCGAACGAAGCGCAUCAUAAUCCUGACGGUCGUGUUGGCCCAUCACGGUACGCACAGCCUGAGCAUCGUGGCCCCCAGCUUUUCCCACCCACCCACCCAACUCCCCAUCAUUCCUUCCCCCCUUUUGACUUGGCCUACCAAUGCAGGAGCCUCUGCCAUGGGUGCAUAGCGCUGCAUAAAAUGAGCCCUACCUACCACUACCCCUCUGCCACUACGUAUCUAUUACCCUCAUCGCUAAUGGGAAGAACUUGGAAUGAUUUAGUACUUGAGUUGCCCCUGGCACCGUAAGCCAGCUGCGGAAAGCAAGGGAAACCACAAAUGCAAAAGCACGGCAAACAAGCAAUGUGGUCCAGCACGCUUUCCGCAAUUGGGUAAUGUAUAAAUAUGUGUGCAGAUCUACGCUCCGUUUCCUUUUCCCAAAGCACAAUGGUCACAAGAGACAUUAUUGAGCAACAUGUGUGUCGCACAGAUCUACGGAUGUCGUACAUGCGCUCAAGUUGCGACAGAAAUUUCGAUAUACACGUCGUGUAAGCCUAGAAUAGUUAAUGUGAAAAUGAUAACAAUACUCGAUAACUGGAGGUCCACUUCGAAGUAGAUGAAGACAGACGGACAGACAGACAGACAGACAGACAGACAUUCGAUAGACAAGACAGGUUCAGAGCUGUCGUCUAAAUCUCUCGUGAACCGCCACAAUUAGCCGUGCUUGUAGCAGUUAACCAUUACUUUCCUAGCGAUGAAUGCGUGCCAAAAUCCAGACAGCAAGGGAAGCACCGGCCUGGUCAAUUCCAUCACCAUCACCAUCGGCGCCUCCUCCGCUUCUCCUCCUCCUCCUCGCCCUCCUCCUCCCCCACGUCGUCCCCUCAAGAGCCUAGAGCUCCCCCAAUACCACGGCCCCCAGACAGCAGCUCAAAACCUCAAGUGACGGGCCCCCCCACUCCACUCCCACUCUCACGCCCAUCCAUCACCUACACUCCCCUAAGGUUCUAAGGAUCUAUUCCAUGCCCCAGCUACUGCACCGCUGCGUCUCUCCCCCCUUCGUCUCCUCCCUUCCGGCCAACAAAUGUGCCCCACUUCGCAUCUGUCCCUUCAUCCUUUCCAUCACAUCACAUCACAUCACAUCACAUCACAUCACAUCACAUCUCUUUACCCUACUUGCAUCCUUCAGACCUAACAGAACCUCACCCCCACCACCUCCACCCCUCACCCACACGACCCCUACCCCCAUCAUCACAGCCACCC
rnacentral:lncRNA from 1 species